UACGAAGGGGGCUAGCGUUGUUCGGAAUCACUGGGCGUAAAGGGCGCGUAGGUGGCGCGACAAGUCAGUGGUGAAAGCUCGACGCUCAACGUCGAGUCGGCCACUGAGACUGUUGGGCUUGAGCACUGUAGAGGCUAAUGGAAUUCCGGGUGUAGCGGUGGAAUGCGUAGAGAUCCGGAAGAACACCAGUUGCGAAGGCGGCCGUCUGGACACAUAUUGACGCUGAGGCUCGAAAGCAUGGGGAGCAAACAGG
rnacentral:rRNA from 1 species